UAGGGAAUAUUGCAAAAUGGGCGAAAGCCCGAUGCAGCAACGCCACGUGGGCGAUGAAGGCCUUCGGGUCGUAAAGCCCUUUUUGAGGGGAUGAGGAAGGACAGUACCCUCAGAAUAAGCCUCGGCUAACUACGUGCCAGCAGCCGCGGUAAAACGUAGGAGGCGAGCGUUAUCCGGAUUUACUGGGCGUAAAGCGCGUGCAGGCGGAUUGGAGAGUUGGAUGUGAAAGCUCCCGGCUUAACUGGGAGAGGUCGUUCAAUACUUCCAGUCUUGAGUGCAGUAGAGGGAAGUGGAAUUCCGGGUGUAGUGGUGAAAUGCGUAGAUAUCCGGAGGAACACCAGUGGCGAAAGCGGCUUCCUGGACUGUAACUGACGCUCAGACGCGAAAGCUAGGGUAGCAAACG
rnacentral:rRNA from 1 species